rnacentral:rRNA from 1 species
GCGAUCCUCACGCGAUGACGGGUAGCCGGCCUGAGAGGGCGACCGGCCACACUGGGACUGAGACACGGCCCAGACUCCUACGGGAGGCAGCAGUGGGGAAUAUUGCACAAUGGGCGAAAGCCUGAUGCAGCGACGCCGCGUGGGGGAUGACGGCCUUCGGGUUGUAAACCCCUUUCAGUAGGGAAGAAGCGAAAGUGACGGUACCUGCAGAAGAAGCGCCGGCUAACUACGUGCCAGCAGCCGCGGUAAUACGUAAGGCGCAAGCGUUGUCCGGAAUUAUUGGGCGUAAAGAGCUCGUAGGUGGCUUGUCGCGUCUGCCGUGAAAACCCGAGGCUCAACCUCGGGCGUGCGGUGGGUACGGGCAGGCUAGAGUGUGGUAGGGGAGACUGGAACUCCUGGUGUAGCGGUGAAAUGCGCAGAUAUCAGGAAGAACACCGAUGGCGAAGGCAGGUCUCUGGGCCAUUACUGACACUGAGGAGCGAAAGCAUGGGUAGCGAACAGGAUUAGAUACCCUGGUAGUCCAUGCCGUAAACGUUGGGCACUAGAUGUGGGGGACAUUCCACGUUUUCCGCGUCGUAGCUAACGCAUUAAGUGCCCCGCCUGGGGGAGUACGGAA